rnacentral:rRNA from 1 species
UACGUAGUGUGCAAGCGUUAAUCGGAAUUACUGGGCGUAAAGCGUGCGCAGGCGGUGAUGUAAGACAGGUGUGAAAUCCCCGGGCUUAACCUGGGAACUGCAUUUGUGACUGCAUCGCUGGAGUACGGUAGAGGGGGAUGGAAUUCCGCGUGUAGCAGUGAAAUGCGUAGAUAUGCGGAGGAACACCGAUGGCGAAGGCAAUCCCCUGGACCUGUACUGACGCUCAUGCACGAAAGCGUGGGGAGCAAACAGG